UGGGGAAUUUUGGACAAUGGGCGAAAGCCUGAUCCAGCCAUGCCGCGUGAGUGAAGAAGGCCUUCGGGUUGUAAAGCUCUUUUAGUCGGAAAGAAAGAGUUGCAAUGAAUAAUUGAGAUUUAUGACGGUACCGACAGAAAGAGCACCGGCUAACUACGUGCCAGCAGCCGCGGUAAUACGUAGGGUGCGAGCGUUAAUCGGAUUUACUGGGCGUAAAGGGGGCGCAGGCGGUCUUGCAAGUCAGAGGUGAAAGCCCCGGGCUUAACCUGGGAAUUGCGUUUGAAACUACAAGGCUAGAGUGCAGAAGAGGGGAGUGGAAUUCCAUGUGUAGAAGUGAAAUGCGUAGAGAUGUGGAAGAACACCGAUGGCGAAGGCAGCUCCCUGGGUUGACACUGACGCUCAUGCACGAAAGCGUGGGGAGCAAACA
rnacentral:rRNA from 1 species